rnacentral:rRNA from 1 species
CAAGUCAAGCGACAGAUGAAAAGCUUGCUUCUCUGAUGUUAGCGGCGGACGGGUUAGUAACACGUGGGUAACCUACCUAUAAGACUGGGAUAACUCCGGGAAACCGGGGCUAAUACCGGAUAAUAUUUUGAACCGCGGGGUUCAAUAGUGAAAGGCGGUUUCGGCUGUCAUUUAUGA